rnacentral:rRNA from 1 species
GACGAACGCUGGCGGCGUGCCUAAUACAUGCAAGUAGGACGCAGUUGCGAACGGGUGAGUAACGCGCAGGUAACUACCUAUAAGAGGGGGAUAACUAUUGGAAACGAUAGCUAAUACCGCAUACUAGUAGAUGGAACUGCGUUGUAUUAGCUAGUAGGUAGGGUAAUGGCCUACCUAGGCAACGCUACAUAGCCGACCAGGGAUGGUGAUCGGCCCAACUUGGCCCUGGACCCGGCCCAGACUACUACGGGGGGGCGCAGGAGGGACUCGUCUGCAAUGGGAGGAACCCUGACCCGGCAACGCCGCGUGAGUGAAGAAGGUUUUCGGAUCGUAAAGCUCUGUUGUUAAGGGAGCGGUACGUAACCAGAAAGGGACGGCUAACUACGUGCCAGCAGCCGCGGUAAUAC